UUUUGAAAGGGAUAUCAGCGCACUUCCGGUAUGAGUUCCGUUUCACACACCCCCCGUCCGACUUGACGGAUAAAAGUUGAGGAGAGAGGCCAAGUUCCCAUUGAAAGCGGCUCACCGCUCGGGUUGCAACCAGAGAGGAGAGGCGCGCGGGGCGAGACCGACCUGAUCCGGCACACCGCGGGAAGCACGAGCGCGCAACGACACGCGUGGGAACGAACAAGGAGAGAGAAGGACACUCCGUGGGGACGCAGAAUUUCAUUUGCGUUUAGUGAACACUUUGCCACAUGUUGACGGACGCGUUCAGAGCCGCACGCGCACUGGCUUGUGGACGCAGCCUCAGCUGAACUGAACUUGGACACUGUGGGAACUGGUGUGGGCAGGCAGGAGGACCGUGCGGUAAGUCGUCGCCACACCUGCGCACUGGUCCCACCGCCCGGAAAACCCUCCGAGUUGAGUUGUGAUAAAAGACCGAUGGACAGCUUCGAGCCAGACGUCUCUCCACGCGCGUGAGUCACCGAGAGCGAAAAAAAACAAACAAUUCAAAACCGUUUGGACGAGAAUAUUGUAACAGCGCGUGCUUUUGAGCGAAA